CACCCCUGUAUUUUUCCUACAACGAAUAGCAAGAGAUUUCCUCUGCAUUAUUGUUAUGAUCGGAGCCCGUUGCAAUAUGAGCCAGCACGAGUCUCUGUUGACAGACGACCGGGCUCUGAGGUGUACGUGUCAGCGUGCAACAUAAAACGACAAAACAGGGAGAGAAAGGAAAAGAGAGAGUGAGAGGAGUGGGAGCACGCAUCGCUGGAUAUUAUAGGUAAGGAGAAGGAAAAUGGAUGCUUAUACUUGUGUGUUUGGAGCUAUUCCUGCUGGCCACGCUUGUGCUCUCCCUCCCAUUUUUUCUCCCCUUCUUUGUGCAUUAAUGAUCAUCCUGCGUUAUGGCUAAAUUAUGUCCCGGUGAAUUAAUGUGAACUGAGCGCACGACGCGCACCCACAUUCCAGCGAGGAAAAGGGAGAGCCGGUGCGAAAUGCCAUGAUUCGCCAUUCCAUAUCAUCUUUCCUUUUUUUUUUUUUUUUUUUUUAAAAGGAAGAUAUGUGGAGCGUCUGGAAACAGCACUGCACAGGCAUCCAUUCUGACUGGGGAACAUGUAUGUGCUGCUGAACACGUCUCUUCCCCCCGUCGUGGAUGGUCUGUGAAGGCAGACCAUAGAGCAGCUUUGGCCGGUCUCCUCUGCAUGUGUAUCAAUAACAUUAGCAGCAAGAAAGAAGAAAGAGUCGUUGCAGUGCCCCGCUCGCUGGUGAUGUUUUGGUAGCUCUCCUCGUGUAGUACAGCCCAGUCAGUAAGCAGCUGGAACCAGUUCAGUCUCUGCAAUGGCUUGUGUUGUAAAAUGGACGUUGUAAAGAAGAAAUAAUGAAAACAAGGACACACAAAGAAUCGAUGCCCAUGCGCAGUGGGCGACGGCGGGGGGCAAGUGAGGAAAGAAGGGGCAGACGCCCGCACCCCAGCCCCUCUCGCCCUGAACGCAACGACAGACAGACGCAAAGAGGUGCUGGUGAGGAAUUGGCUGGAAAUCGCUUCAGUCGCAGAUCACAAGGGCAUGAUUCAUCAGAGAGUGAGGGGGAGGAACUUGUGUCUCCUCCAAAGAGGCAGAAAGUUCAGGAUUCAGCCCCUACUCCAAUUCCUCCAACAUCAACACACUCGACUGACAGCUCAGCUCCUUCCACUGUCCCACCUCCAACCUCAGUUGCCAGCCAAUCCCGUGAGAGUGACAAUGAAGAUGGCCAAUCUCAGGGCAGCAGGAGUUCAGUUGUAGGGAGCCUGGCCAAUAGCAGUAGCAGUCUGAGCAGCGGGAGAGAUAUAGACCAGGACAAUCGUUCCUCAUCCCCAAGUCUUUCCGCUUCCCCUUUGGGCAGCCUGGACUCUGACUCUGAUGGCCCCGAUUCACCAAAGCAAGGAGACCGGGAGAAAGGUAAAGAGGGGGGCGCAGGGAAGGUGACAGGAGAGGAUAGGAGAGUGCUGCGGGAGGGGAGGGGUGAGGAGCCCUGUGGAGAUGGAGAAAAGCGAGAUGUGGAUGCAAGAAUUGAGGACUGUCCAUCUCUUAAGCCCCCCUCCACUCCGUGCUCUUCCUCUGGACUGACUCCCUCUCUCCGUGGAGCAGGAGAUUCAUCAAAUGACAGCAAUAGUGGGAGAAAGUCAUAUUUCUCCCUGGACUCUAAGCUGAUGUGUAAAGUUGAGUACAGUGGACCGACCAGCGUUGAUGCUGCGCUAAGCAGCAGAAUGACUUGCAAAGCCAGCACACAGUGCGUGACCAAGACAACUAUCUCCGGAGGAGAUUAUUCCCAUAACAGCCCCAACAUUCCCCAUUCCCUGCCCCCUCCACUUCCUCCUCCACCUGCCCUGAAGCCUUUGGAGCUUGGGGCACAAAACAUGCCUACUGAGGUUAAGGCAGAAAGAGACAAAAUGGAAAAAGGAGACAAACUUCUGGACAAGUCUCAGUCCACUCCACCUUCUCUGUUGCCACAGACUGGUCCCCAGCCUCAGUCCCAGUCUCAGCCUCAGACCCAACCCUCCUCCCACCCUCACCACUACAGCUCCACCGGCUGGCAGGGUGGCACGGCAACUGGUUGCCAGGCUAGCUGGGGCUACACCCGUUACCCUGGCAACCACCACCCACACCAACCACAGCACCAGCCCCCAGUUCAGCAGCAGCAACUUCCCUCCGUUUACAACCCUCCAUCCUCUCGCCACUCCUCUUCCCACCCCUCUUACCUCCCCCACCCUCACCCCCACCCUCACAGGGAGUACCUUCCCAGGUAUGCUGGAGGGGGAGGAGACAG
ensembl:lncRNA